rnacentral:rRNA from 1 species
CAGCAGCCGCGGGAAUACGUAGGUGGCGAGCGUUGUCCGGAAUUAUUGGGCGUAAAGGGAGCGCAGGCGGACAUAUAAGUCCAUCUUAAAAGUGCGGGGCUCAACCCCGUGAGGGGAUGGAAACUGUAUGCCUUGAGUGCAGGAGAGGAAAGCGGAAUUCCCAGUGUAGCGGUGAAAUGCGUAGAUAUUGGGAGGAACACCAGUGGCGAAGGCGGCUUUCUAGACUGUAACUGACGCUGAGGCUCGAAAGCCAGGGGAGCGAACGGGAUUAGAUACCCGAGUAGUCCCUGUCUCUUAUACA